rnacentral:tRNA from 1 species
GAGGGUAUAGCGCAGUGUUAGAGUGCAUACCUAGCAUGCAUGAGGUCCUGGGUUCAAUCCCCGGUACCUCCA